rnacentral:rRNA from 1 species
UACGUAGGGGGCUAGCGUUGCUCGGAAUCACUGGGCGUAAAGGGUGCGCAGGCGGGCGUUCAAGUCAGGGGUGAAAUCCUGGAGCUCAACUCCAGAACUGCCUUUGAUACUGAGGAUCUUGAGUUCGGGAGAGGUGAGUGGAGCUGCGAGUGUAGAGGUGAAAUUCGUAGAUAUUCGGAAGAACACCAGUGGCGAAGGCGACUUACUGGACACAUAUUGACGCUGAGGUGCGAAAGCGUGGGGAGCAAACAGG